UUCCUGAUUCCCCUCCAUUUUGCUGCAGGGGUAAAUGAUGAUGGGUUUGCCAAAAUAAAUACAAUGACUAUUUCUUUCAGAUACAACUGAGUCAAGCUAUACCCUGAGCUAUUGAGUUGUUGUUGACAUUUGGAAGAGAGAGAACCCAAGAUACUAAAGCAGAAAAACACAAUAGUAGCGAGAUCCUUGAACCAGGUGAAAGAAAUGAACUAGAUGUCACCCAAUGCUCUCUCCAUCUAUAGCAGUCCCUUGAAGAAUUUUCCCAUGGAGCUUUGAAGGGGCAAGAUCACAAGCACAAAAAGAACCUGCAGCUGGGUGUGGUGGCCUACUCCAAUAACCCCAGCAUUCAGGAGGAUGAGGUAGGAUGAUAGCCUUAAGUUUGAGGCUAGCCUGGGUUACAG
rnacentral:lncRNA from 1 species